UACAGAGGGCUCAAGCGUUGUUCGGAUUCAUUGGGCGUAAAGGGUGCGUAGGUGGCGCGGUAAGUCGGGUGUGAAAUUUCGGAGCUUAACUCCGAAACUGCAUUCGAUACUGCCGUGCUUGAGGACUGGAGAGGAGACUGGAAUUUACGGUGUAGCAGUGAAAUGCGUAGAGAUCGUAAGGAAGACCAGUGGCGAAGGCGGGUCUCUGGACAGUUCCUGACACUGAGGCACGAAGGCCAGGGGAGCAAACGGG
rnacentral:rRNA from 1 species